rnacentral:rRNA from 1 species
AACGAACGCUGGCGGCAGGCUUAACACAUGCAAGUCGAACGCACCUUUCGGGGUGAGUGGCCGACGGGUGAGUAACGCGUGGGAAUCUACCCUUCUCUACGGGAUAGCUCCGGGAAACUGGAAUUAAUACCGUAUACGUCCUGAGGGAGAAAGAUUUAUCGGGGAAGGAUGAGCCCGCGUUGGAUUAGCUAGUUGGUGGGGUAAAGGCCUACCAAGGCGACGAUCCAUAGCUGGUCUAAGAGGAUGAUCAGCCACAUUGGAACUGAGACACGGCCCAAACUCCUACGGGAGGCAGCAGUGGGGAAUAUUGGACAAUGGGCGCAAGCCUGAUCCAGCCAUGCCGCGUGAGUGAUGAAGGCCCUAGGGUUGUAAAGCUCUUUCAGUGGGGACGAUAAUGACGGUACCCACAGAAGAAGCCCCGGCUAACUUCGUG